rnacentral:rRNA from 1 species
UUUUGGACAAUGGGCGAAAGCCUGAUCCAGCAAUGCCGCGUGAGUGAAGAAGGCCUUCGGGUUGUAAAGCUCUUUUGUCAGGGAAGAAACGGUGAAAGCUAAUAUCUUUUGCUAAUGACGGUACCUGAAGAAUAAGCACCGGCUAACUACGUGCCAGCAGCCGCGGUAAUACGUAGGGUGCAAGCGUUAAUCGGAAUUACUGGGCGUAAAGCGUGCGCAGGCGGUUUCGUAAGCUGGAGGUGAAAUCCCCGGGCUUAACCUGGGAAUGGCCUUCAGGACUGCGAGGCUAGAGUGCGGCAGAGGGAGGUGGAAUUCCACGUGUAGCAGUGAAAUGCGUAGAGAUGUGGAGGAACACCGAUGGCGAAGGCAGCCUCCUGGGCCAGCACUGACGCUCAUGCACGAAA